rnacentral:rRNA from 1 species
UACGUAGGGUGCAAGCGUUAAUCGGAAUUACUGGGCGUAAAGCGUGCGCAGGCGGUUUUGUAAGUCUGAUGUGAAAUCCCCGGGCUCAACCUGGGAAUUGCAUUGGAGACUGCAAGGCUAGAAUCUGGCAGAGGGGGGUAGAAUUCCACGUGUAGCAGUGAAAUGCGUAGAGAUGUGGAGGAACACCGAUGGCGAAGGCAGCCCCCUGGGUCACGAUUGACGCUCAUGCACGAAAGCGUGGGGAGCAAACAGG